rnacentral:rRNA from 1 species
UACGUAGGGUGCGAGCGUUAAUCGGAAUUACUGGGCGUAAAGCGUGCGCAGGCGGUUCGUUGUGUCGGUGGUGAAAGCCCCGGGCUUAACCUGGGAAUGGCCAUGGAAACUGGCGAACUGGAGUGUGGCAGAGGGGGGUGGAAUUCCGCGUGUAGCAGUGAAAUGCGUAGAGAUCCGGAGGAACACCAAAGGCGAAGGCAGUGUCCUGGGGAGUACCUGACGCUCAGGUGCGAAAGCCAGGGGAGCGAACGGG